rnacentral:rRNA from 1 species
UUGGGCAAUGGAGGAAACUCUGACCCAGAGACGCCGCGUGCGGGAUGAAGGCCUUCGGGUUGUAAACCGCUUUCNGUAGGGAAGAAGCGAAAGUGACGGUACCUACAAAAGAAGCACCGGCUAACUAUGUGCCAGCAGCCGCGGUAAUACAUAGGGUGCAAGCGUUGUCCGGAAUUAUUGGGCGUAAAGAGCUCGUAGGUCGUUUGUUACGUCGGAUGUGAAAACCUGAGGCUCAACCUCAGGCCUGCAUUCGAUACGGGCAAACUAGAGUUUGGUAGGGGAGACUGGAAUUCCUGGUGUAGCGGUGGAAUGCGCAGAUAUCAGGAGGAACACCAAUGGCGAAGGCAGGUCUCUGGGCCAAUACUGACACUGAGGAGCGAAAGUCUGGGGAGCGAACAGGAUUAGAUACCC